rnacentral:rRNA from 1 species
GUGGGGAAUAUUCCGCAAUGGACGAAAGUCUGACGGAGCAACGCCGCGUGAGUGAUGAAGGUUUUCGGACUGUAAAGCUCUGUUGUUUAGGACGAAAGUGCCUGUUGCAAAUAGUUACAGGUAUUGACGGUACUGAACGAGGAAGCCACGGCUAACUACGUGCCAGCAGCCGCGGUAAUACGUAGGUGGCAAGCGUUGUCCGGAAUUAUUGGGCGUAAAGAGCAUGUAGGCGGGAAUCUAAGUCUGUUGUGAAAAUGCGGGGCUCAACCCCGUAUUGCGAUGGAAACUGGGUUGCUUGAGUGCAGGAGAGGAAAGGGGAAUUCCCAGUGUAGCGGUGAAAUGCGUAGAUAUUGGGAGGAACACCAGUGGCGAAGGCGCCUUUCUGGACUGUGUCUGACGCUGAGAUGCGAAAGCCAGGGUAGCGAACGGGAUUAGAAACCCGGGUAGUCC